AACGAACGCUGGCGGCAUGCCUAACACAUGCAAGUCGAACGAGACCUUCGGGUUUAGUGGCGCACGGGUGCGUAACGCGUGGGAACUUGCACUUAGGUUCGGAAUACUUCACCGAAAGGGGUGCUAAUACCGGAUAAUGUCAUCGGACCAAAGAUUUAUCGCCUUUGGAUGGGCCCGCGUUGGAUUAGCUAGUUGGUAGGGUAAUAGCCUAUCAAGGCGACGAUCCAUAGCUGGUCUGAGAGGAGGAUCAGCCACGCUGGGACUGAGACACGGCCCAGACUCCUACGGGAGGGAGCAGAAGGGAGUAUUGGACAAUGGGCGAAAGCCUGAUCCAGCAAUGCCGCGUGAGUGAUGAAGGCCUUAGGAUUGUAAAGCUCUUUUACCCGAGGUGAUAAUGACGGUACCGGGAGAAUAAGCGCCGGCUAACUCCGUG
rnacentral:rRNA from 1 species